ANUAAUAAAGCAAGGCAUUGAAAAUGCCAAGAUGAGUCGUACGACUCCAUAAACA
rnacentral:tRNA from 1 species